rnacentral:lncRNA from 10 species
UGAUUUUAUCUCUUCAGAAAACAUAAAUAUAAAUUGUAUUCAAAUAUGCAUAUUACACAAAGAUGCAUUACACAUAUUGCAAGAGACAUUCACACAUAUUUUUGGUUGGUGAUUUAGCCUGAAUUUGCUAACAAUGGCAUGGUGUCUACUUUGAUUUUGUUUAGCUGGAAUAAUCAAGUAUUAGUCCAUUCUUUCACUGCUAUUAAAUACCUGAGACUGGGUAGUUUAUAGGGAAAAGAAGAUUAAUUGGCUGAAGGUUCUGCAGACUGUAUGAGAAGCAUAGUGGCUUCUGAGAAAACCUCAGGAAAGUUAGAAUCAUGGUGGUGUAGGAGGACUAGCCACAGACAAAACCACUCAGACACCGGGUUAAGAAGGAAGUGGCUUUAUUUGGCCAGGAGCAUCAGCAGACUUGCAUGUCAAGAACUGAGCUCUCUGAAGAAAGAGUUCCUGGCCCUUUUAAGAACUUACAACUCUAAGGGGUUCACGUGAAAGGGUUGUGAUAGAUUGACAUUCAGAGAUAGCAUAUGUGAUUAGAGGGGGGCUAAUCUUUAACCUCUCUCUUCAUUCCCCCAUUUGAGAACCUUACUCACUAGUGGGAGGUCUCACUCUCAUCUUCACUACCCAGGUCUUUCUGCAAGACAGAUCGACAGUGAUUCAUGUAAUACACUUGUGUAUUACAAGACAUUCAUGUAAUACAUUUGUGCUGAAGUUUUCUGAUGAACCAAGGUAGUAACAAAACUUCUUAGAAGUUGGAGAAAUAUGGGUAACAAACAAAGGAGCAAUAGGAGGGUUGCAGCUGGAGAUCUGGGGAGGAGCUGGUGUUUUUUAGUUUGAGGGUCAUGCAGCUAUAGACCCUGGGAGGAGCAGGAGUUUCUUUAGUUUGAGGGUUGGGCAGCUGCAGAACCCGGGAGAAUCUGAUGUUCUGGUUUGAGGGUCCUGCAGCUGGAGACCCAGAGAGCAGCUGGUGUUUCUUUAGUUUGAUGGCCGUGCAGCUGUAGAACCCAGGGGGAGCUGGUAUUUUUCUAGUAUGAGUGUCCUGCAGCUGGAGACCUGGAGAAGAGCUGAUGUUCUAGUUUGAGGGUCGUGCCGCUGAAGACUCAGGGAGAAGCUGAUGUUCUCGUUUGAGGAUACUGCAGCUGGAGACCUGGAGAGGAGCUGAUGUUAUUCUAGUUUGAGGAUCAUGGAGCUUGAGAUCCACAGAGGAGCAGGUAUUGUUCUAGAUUGAGGUUCAUGUAGCUGAAGACCUGGGGAGCAGCGGGUGUUUUUUAGUUUGAGGGUCAUGCAGCUGUAGAACCCGGGAGGAGCUGGUGUUUUUCUAGUAUGAGUGUCCUGCAGCUGGAGACCUGGAGAGGAGCUGAUGUUGUUCUAGUUUGAGGGUUGUGCAGCUGAAGACUUGGAGGGGAGCUGAUGUUGUUCUUGUUGAGGGUCUUUCAGCUGGAGACCCAGAGAGGAGCUGAUGUGGUUCUAGUUUAAGGGUCAUGGAGCUGGAGACCCAGAGAGGAGCUGGUGUUGUUCUGAUUUGAGGUUCAUGCAGCUGGAGACAUGGAGAGGAGCGGGUGUUUCUUUAGUUUGAGAUUCAUGCAGCUGUAGAACCGGGGAAGAGCUGGCGUUUUUCUAGUAUGAGUGUCCUACAGCUGGAGACCAGGAGAGGAGCUGAUGUUCUAGUUUGAGAGCCAUGCGACUGGAGAUGCAAAGAGGAGCUGAUUUGGUUCUAGUUUGAGGGUCAUGGAGCUGGAGACCCAGAGAGGAGCUGGUGUUUCUUUAGUUUGAGGGUCAUACAGCUGUAGAACCCAUGAGGAGCUUGCAUUUUUCUAGUGUGAGUGUCCUGCAGCUGAAGACCUGGAGAAGAGCUGAUGCUUUCAAUUGAGGGUUGUGCAGCUUAAGACUCAGGGAGGAGCUGAUGUUCUAGUUUGAGGGCCAUGAGCUUAAGACCCGGGGAUGAGCUGAUGUUGUUCUGGUUUGAGGUUCAUGCACCUGGAGACCUGAGGAGGAGCGGUUGUUUUUUAGUUUGAGGGUCGUGCAACAGUAGAACCUGGGAGGAGCUUGUGUUUUUCUAGUAUGAGUGUCCAGCAGCUAGAGACCCAGAGAGGAGCCGAUGUUCUAGUUUGAGUGCCCUGCAGCUGAAGACUCGGGAAGGAGCUGAUGUUGUCCUUGUUUUACGAUCUUUCAGCUGGAGACUCAAAGAGGAGCUGAUGUUGUUCUAAUUUGAGUGUAAUGGAGCUGGAGACCCGGGGUGGAGCUGAUGUUGUUCUAGUUUGAGUGUUGUGCAGCUGGAGAUCCAAGAAGGAGGUGGUCUUGUGGUUCAAAUCUGAGGGUCCUGGAGCUGGAAUCUAUGGGAGGAGUCAAUGCUGCCACUGAUGUCUUAGAUUGUGCAGCAGAAGACCCACAGAGGAGCCGGUGUUGGUGUUCUAGUGUGAGGGUGUGGAUCUGGAGAUCCAUGGGGGAGUGACGUUCUUCUAGUUUUUGGGUUGUGGUGCUGGAGACCCAGGGAGGAGCUCAUGGUGUUCUAGUUGAGGGUCGUGGUGCUGGAGACCCAGGGAGGAGUCGAUCCUUCUGUUGUUUAAGUCUGAAGGUCAUCGAGCUGGAGAUCCGGGGAAGAGCUGGUGCUGCGGUUCAAGUCUGAGGGUCCUGGAGCUUGAGACCCCAGGAGGAGAUGGUGCUGCCACGAAUGUCUUAGGUUGUAAAGCUGGAGACCUGCGAAGGAGCCGGUGUUGCUGUUUUAGUGUGAGGUUUGUGGAGCUGGAGUCCCAGGGGGAAAAUGGUGUUUUUCUGGCUUAAGGGUCAUGCAGCUGACCCUCAGAUGACCUCAAACUAUAACAACACUGCUCCACCCUGGAUCUCCAGCUCCAAAAUCCUCACAAUAGAAAAACAUCUGCUCCUCCCUGAGUGUCCAGCUCCACGAUGCUCAAACUAGAUUAAAAUCAGCUCCUUCCCAGGUGUCCAGCUGCAUGACCCUCAAACUAGAAACACCCGGGGAGGUUUUAUUAGUUUGCUGCUGUUUUUCUAGAUUGAGGGUCAUGCAGCUGGAGACGUGGGGAGGAGCUGAUGUUGUUCGAGUUUGAGGGUCAUGGAGCUUGGAGACCCAGGCAGGAGCUGGUGUUUUUCUAGUUUGAGGGUUGUGCAGCUGGAGACCCAGGGAGAAGCUGAUGUUGCUCUUAUUUGAGAGCUGUGGAGCUGGAGACCUGGAGAGGAGCUGAUGGUGUUCUAGUUUGAUGGUUGCAGAGCUGGAGACCCAGGGAGGAGCUGUUGUUUUUCUAGUUUGAGUUUCGUGCAGCUGAAGACCAUUGGAGGAGCUGAUGUUCUAGUUUGAGGGUUGUGCAGCUGGAGAUACAGGGAGAAGGUGGUCUUGCAGUUUAAAUGUGAGGGUCUUGGAGCUGGAAUCCAUGGGAGGAGCCAAUGCUGCCACUGAUGUCUUAGGUUGUGGAGCUGAAGACCCGCAGAGGAGCCAGUGUUGGUGUUCCAGUGUGAGGUUCGUGGAUCUGGAGACCCACGGAGGAGCAGGUGUUGGUGUUCUAGUGUGAGGGUCAUGGAUCUGGAGAUCCAUGGGGGAGUGGUGUUCUUCUAGUUUGUGGGUUGUGGUGCUGGAGACCCAGGGAGGAGCUGAUUCUUUUGUUGUUUAAGUCUGAAGGUCGUCAAGCUGGAGAUCCGGGGAAGAGCUGGUGCUGCGAUUCAAGUCUGAGGGUCCUGGAGCUUGAGACCCCAGGAGGAGAUGGUGCUGCCACUAAUGUCUUAGAUUGUAAAGCUGGAGAUCUGUGGAGGAGCUGGUGUUUCUGUUCUAGUGUAAGGUUUGUGGAUCUGGAGUCCCAGGGGUGAGCAGUGUUGUUUUAGUUUGAGGGUCAUGGAGUUAGAGACCCGGGGAGGAGCUGAUGUUGUAGUUUGAGGGUCGUGCAGCUGGAGACCCAGGGAGGAGCUGGUGUGUUUCUAGUUGGAGGGUUGUGGAGCUGGAGAUUCAC